rnacentral:rRNA from 1 species
AUUGAACGCUGGCGGCAGGCCUAACACAUGCAAGUCGAACGGUAACAGGAAGAAGCUUGCUUCUUUGCUGACGAGUGGCGGACGGGUGAGUAAUGUCUGGGAAACUGCCUGAUGGCGGGGGAUAACUACUGGAAACGGUAGCUAAUACCGCAUAACGUCGCAAGACCAAAGAGGGGGACCUUCGGGCCUCUUGCCAUCGGAUGUGCCCAGAUGGGAUUAGCUAGUAGGUGGGGUAACGGCUCACCUAGGCGACGAUCCCUAGCUGGUCUGAGAGGAUGACCAGCCACACUGGAACUGAGACACGGUCCAGACUCCUACGGGAGGCAGCAGUGGGGAAUAUUGCACAAUGGGCGCAAGCCUGAUGCAGCCAUGCCGCGUGUAUGAAGAAGGCCUUCGGGUUGUAAAGUACUUUCAGCGGGGAGGAAGGGAGUAAAGUUAAUACCUUUACUCAUUGAGGUUACCCGCAGAAGAAGCACCGGCUAACUCCGUG